UCCAUCACUGGAACAGAAUAGAGAGCCCAGAAAGAAACCCAUGCACUUAUGGUCAAUGAAUCUAUGACAAAGGAGGCAAGAAUAUGCAAUGGAGAAAAGUCUGGGCUUCCUUAGGGAUGGUUUCAUCAAUUAAUUUGUUUUCUUAAAUGGACCAUACUUUUCCAUGUGUUUGUAUACCUUGUGAGUUUUUUGGUUGAACAUUGGGCUUUCAAAUAUUAUAAUGUGGUGUCUAUGGAAAUCAGAUUCUCCCACUUUCCCAGGGUUUUCUGGGCUUUUGAUUGUUGAAGGCUGUAGUAGUCUGUUUGUUUAGGGACCUUUCCAAACUAGUUUUGCAAUGACUGUACUCCUUAUUGUAUGUAGGCACUGAAGUCUCUGUUCCUUUAGUUCAUGUUUAGCUAAUGUUUUGACAGAGAUGUCCUUGAAUUCCUGCACCUAAGACAAACAAAAACAAAUAUACACAAGCACAUCCACAUGCACACUCAAAACCACACACCUCUCCCCAUUGUGCAGAUUGCUGGAUCACUCCUUCAACAUUUAGCUGAUCUGCACUGAGUUCAGGGCUCAGCCCAUGGUAAAAGCUUAGAGACUCCUCUGGUGUUUUCAGAACAUGCAUCUUAUCUUGAGUAUGCAUGUGGUUUUCUUAAUUUCUCUGGACACAUAUGUACUUUUUGUAUGUUCUAAGUUCCCAAAGAAUCUCCCCCAACUUUUGCUCCUGCAUCUUAUGUGGUCUAUUGUAUUUCAAUGCACAGUCUUCUGCCCCAGCCAUCUGUGCUUUGUUAGUUCACCUUGCACUUUUUUUGAGCAAUGACCACUGCUUUUCCAGAUUGUGUUCCAGGUUAGCUAAGACAGAGAUAAGCAUCUUGUGUCAGUCCUUCAGGUAGCUCCCAGACAGGUUAGAACAGAUACACAUAAUAAUCCGAGAGUAUGGUUUCUUUUCCUCCCUCCUGAAGCAGGAUUGAGGGUCCCAUACUAGGAAUGGUCUGCUGCUAUUUUAAGACUAUCACUGCAUUAAGACCCCACCACUUUAAGACCAUCACUACACUAACAGUAGAUGGGGCAAGGGCAAGUAAAAAUGCCACAAAGCUUUCCUGCCAUUUUCAAAUUGCCUCUUCCCUGGUUCAGUAUGUGUUUGGUUGCUGUAAAUCUUUGCCUGAUUUCAGGACUAAGAGAAACUCAAGGAACCCCACAACAAGAAACAGUAUGAUCAAACUCUCAGAUGCCAAAAGACAGAGAAAGAAUCUUUUCUCCCAAAGGAGAAAGAAAAAACAAAUUUGUUACAAAGCAGGGAUCCUCAAAAAGAUUCAUAGCUAAUUUCCUAUCUGAAACCACGGAGGCAAGAGGCCAGACAUAUUUAAAGUGCUGAAAGAAAAAAACUGUCCACCAAGAAUUCUAUAUUUGGCCAAACUGGUUUCAAAACUUAGGGAGAAAUUAACACAUUCCCAGAUGAACAAAGGCUGAGGGCGUUUGUUUUACAACUUCCUAACACUGCCCUAUGACAAAUGCUAAAUUGAACCUUCAGGUUGAAAUGAAAGGACACUAGCCAGCAACUCGAAGCUGUAUAAAGAAAUAGAAAUCUCCAGUAAAGAUAAAUACAUGGGCAGAUACUAAAGCCAGUAUUGUGCUACUGGCUUGUAACUCUACCUUGUAUUUCUUACAUGAUUGAAAAAACAAAUGCAUAAAAUAAUCAUAAAUCCAUGUUAUUGGGCUCACAAAGUAUAAAGGUGUAAUUUGUGACAACAAUAACGUAAGGAGGAGGAAUGGAACUGUAGAGGAACAGAGUUUCUGUGUGCUAUUGAAGUUGGUUGCAAUUCAAAUGAUAUUGGUUGAACUUUAGAAGGGUAAAUUAUAUGCUGUCUGCAAAAAACUCAUUUGAUUUCAAGAGACACAAGUUGGUUGAAAGUUAAAGCACAGAAUAAAAUAUCCCAUGCAAAUAGUAACAAAAAGAAAGAAAGAGAGAGAGAGAAAAAGAAAGGAAGGAAGGAAGGAAGGAAUGAAGGAAGAUAGAUCUGGGAUGGCUACAUUAAUAUCACACAAAAUAAACUUUAAAUCAAUACCUAUCACAAGAGGAAAAGGAGGCCACUAUAUGUUGAUAACAAGUUCAAUCUAUCAAGAAGAUAUAACAACUAUAAACAUAUAUGUACCAAACAUCCCCCAAAUAUGUGAAGCAGACAUUGACAGAAUUGAAGGAAGAAAUAGAUAGUUCUAAAAUAAUAGUUGGAGAUCAAUACCUUGCUUUCAAUAAUGGAUAACACAUCUAGACAGAAGAUCAGUAGAGAGGUAGGGGGACUGAAUAACACAUUUAACCAACUAAACCUAACAGCCAUAUAUAGAUCACUCCACUCAACAACAGCAGAAUACACAUUUUUCUCAAGUACACAUGGAACAUUCUCCAGGGAAGACCAUAUGUUAGACCACAAUACAAGUACCAAUACAUUUUUAAGAAACUGAAAUCAUACAAAGUAUCUUCUUUAGCCACAGUGAAAUGAAGGUAGAAAUCAAUAACAGAACCAUUGGUAGCCAUUUCCCAUUAUGCCUGCCACACAUGAUAUAAAGCAAUGAAGGGAAAAACAUAAUUGACCAUUUAGAAAAGUGGGAAAGAGGACAUACCAUUGACACAGAGUGUGUGCUGUUUCCCGUUGUCAGGGAUAGAAAUAAAUUAGCAUCAUUUAUUCAUUAGUGUGUUAAUUUCUUGGUCAAUCAUUGGGCAGCCAGUGUUUCUGCCUGAUGGGAAGAUUUCCUAUACUCAGUGUUGA